CUUAUGAACAAGCCUUUCCAGCCACAGUCAGGCACAAUGAUCGCACACACUCCCCUUCUCUGGCUGCUGGUUCUCUGGAUUCAGGACUCCUCCGGGCAAAUUGUGAUGACUCAGUCUCCGGAAUCUCUGGCAGUGCCAGUGGGAGGGAGAGUCUAUAUCAACUGCAAAGCCAGUACGAGCCUUGGCACGAGCAUACACUGGUACCAACAGAAACCUGGACAAGCGCCCAAACUUCUUAUCUACAGCGCUAGCACCCUCCAGACAGAGGUCCCAGCCUGGUUCAGCGGCAGUGGAUCUGGCACCGAUUUCACAUUCUCAAUCAACAACGUACAAGCUGAAGAUGCUGGUGAUUAUUACUGCCAGCAGAGUAGCAGCUUCCCUCUCACAGUGAUACAGACCAACACAAAAACCUCUCUGCAGCACGCAUUUCAGUUACUGCUUCCUGCAGAUACAACUGUCUAGUUUUCGCAUGUUCUGUCAAACAUGAAAGAAGAGGGUAGUGUUUUCCAUCUCUGAACAUACAGUGAAAAGGAGAACACUGAAAGAGCCAAGUGUUUGGAUGAUCACGUAGAUCCUAGAAUAUACACAGAGGCCUGAGGCUCACUGCAGGUUUCUCUGCUUUUAUUCCCAAUCGUGAAUCCCAGUGCACCGGACACACUUACAUGUGUUUCAAUACAAAUCAUUCCAAACAGCUGUUACACCUUCUAUCUUUCAGCCUAGAAUGUUUAUGUCGCAUAAGAAACUGACUUAAUUCCAAGACAGAGAGCUGAUCAGAAACAGGAAUUCUCAUAUUGUGAGAAAUUUCAAAUUUGGGGAAGGUGGAGGGGGGCUUGUUGUGAAUCAGCAUGACAAUUUGAAAUUUCAAAAUUUCCCGUGAUAUGAAAAUUUCCAAAAGCAACAUUUCAUUUUGAUUUAAACUUCAUCUA